UACGUAGGGCGCAAGCGUUGUCCGGAAUUAUUGGGCGUAAAGAGCUCGUAGGCGGCCUGUUGCGUCCGCUGUGAAAACCCGGGGCUUAACCCCGGGCUUGCAGUGGAUACGGGCAGGCUGGAGGCAGGCAGGGGAGAACGGAAUUCCCGGUGUAGCGGUGAAAUGCGCAGAUAUCGGGAGGAACACCGGUGGCGAAGGCGGUUCUCUGGGACGGUACUGACGCUGAGACGCGAAAGCGUGGGGAGCGAGCAGG
rnacentral:rRNA from 1 species